AUACGUAGGUGACAAGCGUUAUCCGGAUUUACUGGGCGUAAAGGGCGUGUAGGCGGUCUUGCAAGUCAGAAGUGAAAUUCCUGGGCUCAACUCGGGCGCUGCUUCUGAAACUGCAGGACUUGAGUGCUGGAGGGGAUAGCGGAAUUCCUAGUGGAGCGGUAAAAUGCGCAGAUAUUAGGAAGAACACCGGUGGCGAAGGCGGCUAUCUGGACAGUAACUGACGCUGAGGCGCGAAAGCGGGGGGAGCAAACAGGAUUAGAUACCCUGUUAGUCCACGCCGUAAACGAUGAAUACUAGGUGUAGGGGGUAUCGACUCCCUCUGUGCCGCAGUUAACACAAUAAGUAUUCCGCCUGGGGAGUACGGCCGCAAGGUUGAAACUCAAAUGAAUUGACGGGG
rnacentral:rRNA from 1 species